rnacentral:rRNA from 1 species
UACGUAGGGUGCGAGCGUUAAUCGGAAUUACUGGGCGUAAAGCGUGCGCAGGCGGCUUUGUAAGUCAGGUGUGAAAUUCCCGGGCUCAACCUGGGAAUGGCAUUUGGGACUGCAAGGCUGGAGUGCGGCAGAGGAGACUGGAAUUCCUGGUGUAGCAGUGAAAUGCGUAGAUAUCAGGAGGAAUACCGAUGGCGAAGGCAGGUCUCUGGGCUGACACUGACGCUCAUGCACGAAAGCGUGGGGAGCAAACAGG